GAGUCCGCAGUGUUGCGCCUCCGCGGGUCGCCGCGCAUUGGGGCCGCGAUUGCUGUGCAGCGUCGGAAGCCGGCGGCCUCAGGUAGGAGCUGCGGCACGGGAUAAGCCCGGUCGGCCGCGCAUGACCUCUCCUUGCCGGAUCCGGCCGCGCCUACCCCUCCACUGCUGCCUCACAGGCGGGCGGGCGCGGAUCGCGGCCUGGGCGGCGCAGGCCUGAGGGGCCGCAGACCGGGGCGCAAGAACCUGAACGGUGCCCCGUGACUCGGCUUCCCAGUAGGCGGCGAGCGUGGUACUGCAACAGGGGUGCGGCGACUUGGAGAAGCUUCGUGGAAGGGAAGCAGAGACAGGUGGUUGAGGGGCAAGGACCGGCGCAGUGCAUUCGAGACGUAGAAGCUUGCUCCUUCUAGCUCUUCAGAGGAUCGGAGGAGAAGAUCUUGCUUUGUAGCCCUGGCUUGCUUGGAACCUACUACAUAGACUAGAUUGGCUAUCUAGUGCUGAAAUCAUAGGGUAGGGUGGCAGUGGAAGGCUUAAUCAGAGUGGAUUCUGGAACAUUCAGGACUGCGGCACCUUGUAUCUGGACAGGGAUUUGGGACUGUGCAGGAGACGACUGGUGGUCCAGUGUGGCUUAAGGACUUGAUGGCGUAACCCACUUCUUCCACGAACUAUGAGGAAGAGCUUAAAAUGCCUCAAACUUUUUUUUUUUUUUUUGGAGGGAGGAGACUGGGGAGAUGGAUUUGAAGAGGAUUGAACAAAUUGGAAGAAAAUAUUUGUCCUCUGCUUUGGUGUCAGAAAAGGGAAUUUUCCAAUCUGCCACACCUCAGUGUUGCGGCAAAAAUAAUUCUUGGCUCCCCUGGAAACUAUCGGGCAAGGUAGGGCAGAACUGCUGCUGCUGUCGCCAUUACCCUGGGCUUCCUAUUGAAUGGGCUGCUCCCAAGUGAACAGAUCUGCGUUGAUGCUCUGGUCGUCCAAAAGUCCUCAAAUCAGCUCUGAGCUGAGCCCACUAUUGGAAGAAUCUGCCUUUUGGAAGUUGACGCUACCUUGUGCUUGGGAAGGUUUGGCUCAAGCACUCUUUCCCUGCCUGGAGACUUAUUGGGGAUGUAAAAUGAGAGAAUAGCAGGUGACCAGCAAAUUAGGGGAGGAUUAAAUACUUCCAAGUUGUCACAGCAAGAAGAAAGAGGAAUAUCUCAGGAGUUUGACCUCAAGCCUACAAAGUGGUGGUAUUCUACCAAGAGGUCUGUAUGCUUCAUGAUGCUGUUGAGUCCUGUGGGAGGAGAAUCUGAGCACCCUGAUGCCCCUUAUCCCCAAUACUGCACUGUGGAGCUGAGAGUGACAACAGCCAGGAAUUCUGUAGAGUACAGCUCCAUCUGUAAGUAGAUGACAAUUUCUUGGCAACACAGGCUCAGCUGAGGAUGGUGUUUGUGCAUCUAAGCCAUCAUGCUAGAGCAGUUUGCCUACAUUUUUGUGGAACGGCAAAGAGGACCUGCUUGACCACCCUUCUUUCUGUGGGUAAGUGUUCAUCCUCAUUUUUAUACGUUCUUUUCUGCCUUCAAAUGUGAAAGUUUGAUAGGUAUUUAUAAUCCUGGACUGCUAUAUCUUCUUUCUUCCUCUCCUAUGUGCCCCACCCUUUGUCUUUCAGAAGGAAAUGUUGCAAUUCAGUGUUCGGCCACAAUAUAUCUAUCUUCCUUAGACUCAUACUUUAGAAGCCAGUUUUCUCUAAAAUGGAUCCAGGAGACAUGUCUUUGGUGAGAAGUGUUAAUUAAUAGCCUCAUGAAGGACCCUGAUGCACUCACUGUGCCCAGUUUGUGCUGAGGCUUCUAGCUGGCUGGCUGCAUAAGGAUGGUCCUUGCCAGCAUCUGGCAUAGAUCUGCCAAGUUCUAGCUCCAAAUCUCUAGGCUGUAGGAACCUCAACUAUAUAUAGCCUUGAGCUAAGCAGAUCUUAGCAGACAUGUCUACCCUUCCCUGUGAGAGAAGAGUACUUCUAUCAUAACUACAGUGUGGAAAAUGAGUUAUCUUCAAGGGCUGGAAGGUGUAUAUUUCCAUAUCAGGCUUGGGUCUGCCAUACUUACUCUUCUUUUUCCUGUUUCAGGUACUGAAAGAUGAAAAGUCAUGCUGGAUGAGGUUGCUGAGGUGGGAUGAGGGCCAGUAGGAUGCCAUGUAUAGAGAAGGAAAGACUUGGAGCACUCCAUGUGGCCAAAGGUGGUUAUGCCCUACAUCAAACCCCAGCUUCCAGUGUCUCCUCUGUUUCCUGCUUGAUUUGCUCUGCUCAAAGACAUCUUUUGACCUUUUCUCAUUCCUUUGGACCUUUUGCUCUCUCUGUUUUCAUCUACCCCUGCCUGUUCUUCCAUUUGUUUUUUUCUUUAGGAUGAAUGAAAAUAUUCUCAGCUAUUGAUCCAGCAGCUAUAUUUAUUCUUUGCCUUCUCUUGUCUUCUUUGCCUUCAUCCUAAUUAAGCAAGGCAGAAAGGGCUAAUUGUCUUGGGAAGGAAGGUGGUUAGUAAAUAAAAGCCCAUGGUGUUCAGUGGUAGGGCCUAGUAGGUUAGAUGGUCUUCCUUCUUGUAGGUACUGUUGAGCCACCAAUUUGUGUGAUUCCUUGACCUCAAGUAUAUUUUAAUAUAACAUGGGCCUGGUCUUGUGGGUAGAUUAAUAUCAAGCUGCUGAUUAGAAAGGAGAAGCAACAAAGAAAAGGUCUGAUCAUGCCUCUAAGGUAGGUGGAGUGUGGCUGCUCCCUGGAUCUAUUCCCUUAAACCUUACCAUUCCAAACCUCCAACAAUUAUCUUUUUCUUUCCAUUGUCCCCCUGGCUUUUCUGUAUAUGGGUGACUAGCAGAGUGCUAAGAUAAAGGCAGCCUGCUCAACUAGCUAGGCCAUGAGAUGUUUGGAAAAUAUCUGGGCAGCACUGUAGACAGGGUAGCUCCUUGGCUACUGACAGCUAACCUGAGCUUAUUCGGGGUGUAAUUCCCAUACCAUCCCCGAGGUCCUGGGAGCUGCCCAGGGUGCAAACAUGCUCUUUCCUUUUAGAGUGGGCAUUUGUCUUACUCUGGACACACUGAGCUUUAGGGGGCUUAGGCUAAGCCUGGGAUAUAGCUUAUACUGGGCUGAGCAGUAACUAGAUUCUGAAUUUUUUCCUACUUGGAUUUUUUCUUUAGGUCUUCAAUUGUCUUCAAAGUACCUCCAGGUACUCAACAGGGUUGCGUAUGCUUUUUCUCUGCCUUACAAUAACAGCAAUGAUGAGUUAAAGUGAUGAUGUCCCUCAGAAGUAGGAAGACAACCCCAUUGUAAACAAAUCAGAAAGCAGCAGGUACUUGCUGUGACAUUCAAAAAUCUCUGUCCAUCAUUGCUGGCAGUGUUCUUAGCCAAUAGGGCCAGUGGGAACUAAAUAAUAGCCAGAGAUUUCGGGUCUAAGGAAAAAGGAAUUAUCCUGGAUAAUUCUACUAGGUACCUGUGAGAUCUCAAUCCCAGCUAUCUAAUGUAGCUACUCUCCUGGCACCAUGUAGAUGUGUUUCUCCUUCCUUGCUUCCUCCUACUACUGUUCAAGGAAGACAAAUGAAUCUCACCCCAUAUGUUUAAUUGUCUUGUUUUUCCCUUUAAGGCAAGCCUCUGAGGUCCUUGCCAAGAAAAGUCAGUUUUGAUAAGUUUUCUGUUACUUCAAGGAGCUGAUCAAGUUCAGUCACUUCCUCAGUAGUGUGUGAGGGAUAGCAGAGAGUUAGAAGGACUGAUGUUUAAAUGAAGAGGUGAGUUCAAUCAGCUCUGCAGCUGGGAGAUAGAAAGGAAUAAACCUAGUUCAAGAUGAUACCCACUGGUGUGCUAGAGCCAGAUGUGCUUUGCCUUGCUCCUAGCCUCCGCCUGGCUUCUGUUGUGUGACAGGCAGCAUUGUGUGUUGCCAGUUAAGUAGUCAUGGCAGUUAGCAUGCCUUGAGUAGCAUAUAGGCAUGCCUGGAACUUUUUCCUUGACCUCUGAGUCUCUAAGUUCUAGAAGACAGUUGUGGUACUGAAGCUGAGACAGCAUAGCUGUAGAAUACAAAGUACCUUACUCAGAGCCCUUUUUGGGCCAUACCAUCUGGGUUCUACUGAAUCCUGUUCUUACUGGGGCUAUGAAUUGUUCAAAUGAUAUCUUGGCUCUAUUCUCUGGGUUGGGUAUAUCCCCAGUACUGCAGCUUUAGAGGAGGAUGUGAACUCUCACAGGUCAUUUCUUUAUACAUUAUAGCCAGCCUUUAGGAUAAGUAAGAGAUACUGCCCUAGUCACCCUGCCAUCUAUGGGAGGUUCUUGUUUUCCUUAAUUUAUCUGAUCAAUGGCCAUGAGAAAAGUAUACACUGGUUUGGAUCCUUGCUGGUUCCUUCCAACUGCUUUUAGGCUGAUAAGCAAGAAAAUACUGUUGAAGCCUCAUAGUCUGCAGAAUUUGAUGCUGUGGAAUGAUACCUAUGUGGAUAGACUAUAGAAAUAGGUUGGAGGGAACUUCAUAGAGCCAUAUUUCUUUGUGGUUGGAUAAAAGAAACAAGUCAUGAGGUUGGAUAUGUGGGAAGACAUAUUCAAAUGUCUAGGCUGUAGGUGGGAUGGAGCCCAGAUGAAUCUCUAAUGAGGCAAGGAGAUGGGAUCAGAUAUCUUGGUCCCCAUAUUCCAUCCAUGGAAAAGGAGACUGCCCUCUCACCAUUGGUGACACAGAUUAUUUCCCUUUGAUUUUUAUUAAAGUAUAAUUAUUAAAUGACUUAAGUCAAACUCACACAAUUGAUGAGUGAUGUUGAGGUUUGCUUCAGCACUUCUAAUUCCAAAGCCACGUUUUCUCCUCACCCUUGGGCUAAAAGUAAGACAUUUUGUGAAUUAACAUCCCCAAGAAACAAUAUAAUCUACAGUAUAAGCAAACUAUGUCCCAGUUAGACUGUCCACAUUCCUUUUGGGGGGAUGUGUGGCAGAUGUUAUUUGGUGUCCAUGGAAAUGAAAAAUAUCUUCUAGAUAUUGGUGGAUAUACUAGGAGCUGGAGGUACAGAGCCCUGAGACUAGAUUUCUUCUUGUACUGUGGGUAUAAAAUUGUCCAUAAUGUAGCAACAUAAAAUACACAGUAGCCACAGAUAACAUUGUGUGUGAAGGAAGAGGAAGGCAUCACUCAUUGAAAAUAUGGUGACUAAUUUCUGUCAUGUUAGCACUCAGGAGGCUAAAGUAGGAGAGUUGAGUUCUAAGCUGGCCUGGGCUAGCUUAGAUUAAGACCCUGUCUCAAACACCUCCCCCUCCAUCAAAUCCUAAUGGCCUUGGAUGUCUAAGACCUUGGAUGUCACUUUGCUAGGUUCACUAGCCACAGCUUUCUGGCCACAUGUUCUACCUAGCCUGACAGCUAAAGACAAAAUGUCCUGGAUGCUGGGCCCAGGCUGCUGCUGAAAGUGACAAGCCAGGCACCCUCUUCAGUGCACAUAAGCAGGUAGUCUUUUUUGGAGGUAAGAUGUUCCUUUUUCUUUCAAAAAGGCCUUCCCUAACCUUCUCUCCCAAAGAUGAAUGAGUUGGGAACUCCUAAAUCAGCCUUCAAAGGCAGGCAAAGAAAUGGAUGACAGGCUUCUGGCACCCUCCCCCACCCUGGCUGGAAUUCUCAUCAUGCACAUAGCUGUGACUCAGCACUCACUGCUGGGUCAGGAGAGAGAAGCUAUUGCCUGGCUGGAACCUUCCCACAUUCUGCAUGUGAGCACAUCGAACAGCACAGGCUGGGCCAGCAGGGUGAGGUUCCUGGGGCAAGUAUUUUUCUCCUCUAACCCAUAUUCUUCCCACAUUUUAGGGAUUUCUGUUCUGGGCCCAGGGUAUUUAGGACUCUAAAAACCAUUGCAUCAGCCAUAGACUAAAGUAUACGUAGUCUUUUUCUUCUUUGCUUUUAACCAGUGGCCCAUGAAAAGUGUUCAACCUUUAUUUGUACUGUUUGGCUUUCAUGGGUUGGGUUUUCUAUGUGUUAAUUUUAUAUCUAGACAGAAUAUGACUUUUCAAGAUUACUGUACCUCUCUUGCAUGCUGUUGUUGUCUCUGGCUGUGUGUAUACGUGUGUUCUGACCAGUUUUCCCUAGCUUGUCUUUACAGAUGAAGACACUGAAGCCAUUCAAGACUAUGGCAGGGCCCUGUUCUCAGCAUAUAGACAAGCAGGUGUUCUAAUUUACCAAGGAGUGACAUUGCCUCUCCCUGUCUGCCCCUGCCUUACCAAAGGAGUGACCUGUCAUGGGAGGGUAGAAUGGCUUCCAGAGAGAAAUAAGUAUAGGAACAGAUGGAGGCUGAAGAGUGGCGUCUCAGACUUCUUACCUGCUCUGUGGCCUGUUCAGAACUGAAAAGUGAGGCAGGGUUUCUUUUCUAGACAACUCUAUUAAGCCCAGUAGCAUAAAGUUUACUUGAAGCCACUCAGUUGAGAAGGGAGAUCCCAUUAUUCUCACUGAGAGCAGAGCCCUAACAGCCCUAAGGUUUUCAAGGGCUGCCCUCUUAGACAUUCAGGUAACUCUCAGGCCUGGUGCCAGAGAGCUACAGUCUUCCGGAGUUUAUCAAAUCAUCCAGCUAUUCCAAAGUAGUGAAGGAUCACCACCUUGUUUCAGAAAAGGGACACUGCUCAGCUGACUACAGAAAUCCUGCUUUUAUAGGAUGCUGAAGACUGAGUGGGAUUGGAUGAACAUAAGGUUUAAAUGCUAGGACUACUUUCCCUCCUCUGUAGUUCACUGCUUAAAUUAUCUUUCAGUGAUUCUUAUUUACAGAAAACAGGGUUUGCAGUCCAUGGAUGUAAUCCUAGUCCUUCACUGGUAGUUUCCCCUUGCCAGGCCCUUUAUUUGCUGGAUAGGAAGAAAGGAAUUAGCUUCAUGGCAUGCUGAGGACCAAAAGAAACAGGUGUUUUCUAAAUGAUAGCAAACUGGAAUAGCCUGAGGGAAAGCUUUCUAGAGCUGAGAUGGCUGACAGAGGAGGUGGAGGAUUGAUAAAAGGAGAUGCCAGCACAAGCAGAACCUUCUGGGAGGAAAGGUGUGCCCUGGAUCCCUGCAGGAUCUCUCUCCUUAGCAUAGAGGGAGGGGAUUGGGGGAUGGUAGAGGAAGUUGCUAAGAAAAUUAGGCUGAAAUGGAAAUCAGAAGAGUUGAAUAUUAUCAUAUGCAAAUCUCACCUUCCCCUUCAUUUACAGGAUUUUGACCCUUGUUAAUAACUGCCAUCUAAUCUAUUUAUGACCUAAAGCCCUCCCUAUCAUGGGUUAGAGUUCCUAACCCUCAGGCUCUAAUUUUGCCAACCAAUGUCAGUGUCACUCAGAAACCCAGUGUAUAGAUCUUCCAGCACUCAUCUGCAGCUAAGGCCCUGGAAAGCCCCAGGGAGGCUGCUGGGCCUUCUGUUUCUCCUCUGGCUGGCCCAGUUUCUGAGAAGUCAGUGUCAGCAUUGCUAGGCUUCAUUGCUAUCAUCUUCUCUAUUGCUGGAAAGAAUAAAGGGGCACCAAUGAGGCAAAAGAACAAAAGCAGGUCCUCCUAGACUACUUGACCUCUUGCAGUACCAACGAUGUGUUCUCAUCUUCACCCAGGGAUAGCAUGUUUACAGUGAGUCUCCCAUCCAGAUUGUCUGAGCUAAAUCCCCCUCCCCAGUCUAGCUCUGAGUUCAGUUCAAGAGAAAAGAGGUCACAGUCAAGCUGUGGAUCAAGCAGCAACAGUGGGCAGAGGGAAAGGAAUAUAGACAUUAGCUCAUCGUAUCCUGUGACUACAGUUUCUUGUGCAGACAUCGGAAUAAUAACCUACUUCACUGGAAUCUUGGAACAAUUGAAUAUUGUGACUCUGGGGAUACUCACAUUAUAUUUGCUCUAUUACCCCAAAACAGCCAGGAGCCAUAAAAAAAUAUGCUUGUAUCUGGAAGCCAAAAAGUUUUUCUGGGGAACCUGAAAAAUACAGCUCUACUCUUUGUCUCCUUUCAAAGAUGACAGUUGUGACAUCAGAGGAAAUAUACAGCAAAAAUGCAGUACAAUGUGAAACAUAGCUUGUGAAUCUUAUUUUUAGGUACAUUUUUAAAACAUACCUUGUUUUGUGUUAGAGGGUUAUCUGUAUAAUACAGUGUUAAGAUACCAGCUUUUAAAAAGACAUUAGGGGUUAAAUCAAAUUGCUAGCCUACAGGGUCAUGGGAUAGAGAGCAGGAAGGAACAUACUCUUUUUGAAUAAUACUUGUGGAAGAGUUGUCCUGGCACAGGUGACUUACUUGGGUUCAGUUGUUAACAUCUCAUAGGUCAUUGUCAUUGUCUUGAACAAGUGACAUAUCUACCGACACUAUGCAUCUUGGGAAAUUACAUAAAUUCAAGACAUUACAAAUGUACAUAUGUUGAAUGGAUUUGGUUCUUUUAUUUCAUUGUGUAUGAUGAUUUCUAAUGACUAAUGUGAAGUCACACAGGAAACAAGCUUUGCAUUGUUUUUGUCUGCUCAAAGUGUUGGCUGUAUGGCUGUCAUCUGCGUCUGACAGGCAAAAUGAUUCUCAGGGCUGAGGCUGGUUCUUCUGACUGCACAUCUCUGCUUUCUUCAGUGAGAUCCUCUUCUUCUGGAAGCUGGUUUCACAUGGUGGCUUAGAUUUUUCCAUCUUUGUAUCUAGCACCAUUUGAAAUCAGUGUUUUAGGAGUAAGAAUUGCAGCACAGCAGAGGGUAGACUACAGAGGAACAGCUGUACACAGAACUGGCUCUCUCCUUCGAGAAAUCAAGGGAAGACUUGAAUAGUGACAUUUGCUCUUGAGUCUGUUUGGUUUAGAGGCAGUGAUAGUGAGAAAGUUUUUGUGUUCAGAAUGUAUAAGGGUAUAAUCAGGAAGUGGUCUACUUUAUUCAGCAUUCCAUGGGUGGAAGAGGGUUCCUUGGGCCUGCACUGUUCAUUAAUUGUAGCAAGGAAGGGGUAAGAGCUCUGUAUGUGGAGGACUGCUUCAUUCACAUCAGUAUGGCUCGUCUGAACCUGGAAGAUCCAUGGAGCACUCAUUCAGUCCUGGUUGCAGCACAGCUGAAAUCAGACUGUCACCUGCCUUGAGAUUCAGACCUGAAGAACACCACCAGUCGGUCCAUCUCUUACACAGGCUGACCGAUUUCUCCUGGUGUUCAGAGUCUGUUUUUGUCUAGCACCAUUUGAAAUCGGUUAUGAUGUAGGGGGAAGAGCACCAGCCUCAGAACCUUGUGGUGUCAGCAUCAGCAUCAGCCUAUCACUUCCUACGUGGGCAGAGUGGAAAAGGAAGAUCACAGUUUCCUAACUUCUUUAAUUCGUAUGUAUGUGGCUGCCAAGGUUAGAGAUCACUUAGUGGGGGGUUUUAAUUGUUAUAAUUUAUUGUUGUAAAAUAUUCUCAGUUACAAUUUCUGACAUGUAGUACUGUUAUAAACUAAGUACUGUUAAACGUUGGCUUUAAUAAAUAAUUUGCUACAUUCAAUCUAU
rnacentral:lncRNA from 1 species